rnacentral:misc_RNA from 1 species
GGAACACCCCCAAAAGAAAGAGCAAAGAAAGAAACAAGUAAGCAAACAGACAAGAAGCCUAAGAAUCUCUCUCUCUAUUUAGUUGUUCUUCUAUAUAUUAGAGCUAAUAUAGGUUAAAUAUCAAGAAAAAAAGAAAUGGAUCCAGUUGCAGCACAUGGCCGUCCUCUUCCACAUCCUUUCCUCACUAGAGAUCUUCAUUUACAUCCUCACCAUCAAUUUCAAAACCACCAACAGCAGAAUUCUGAAGACGAACAAAGUGGUAACGGGAACUUAAACGGUGGGCAAAAGCGAGAGCACGAUGAGAUC